UGCAUAUCAAUAAGCGGAGGAAAAGAAACCAACCGGGAUUGCCUUAGUAACGGCGAGUGAAGCGGCAAAAGCUCAAAUUUGAAAUCUGGUACCUUCGGUGCCCGAGUUGUAAUUUGGAGAGGGCAACUUUGGGGCCGUUCCUUGUCUAUGUUCCUUGGAACAGGACGUCAUAGAGGGUGAGAAUCCCGUGUGGCGAGGAGUGCGGUUCUUUGUAAAGUGCCUUCGAAGAGUCGAGUUGUUUGGGAAUGCAGCUCUAAGUGGGUGGUAAAUUCCAUCUAAAGCUAAAUAUUGGCGAGAGACCGAUAGCGAACAAGUACAGUGAUGGAAAGAUGAAAAGAACUUUGAAAAGAGAGUGAAAAAGUACGUGAAAUUGUUGAAAGGGAAGGGCAUUUGAUCAGACAUGGUGUUUUGUGCCCUCUGCUCCUUGUGGGUAGGGGAAUCUCGCAUUUCACUGGGCCAGCAUCAGUUUUGGUGGCAGGAUAAAUCCAUAGGAAUGUAGCUUGCCUCGGUAAGUAUUAUAGCCUGUGGGAAUACUGCCAGCUGGGACUGAGGACUGCGACGUAAGUCAAGGAUGCUGGCAUAAUGGUUAUAUGCCGCCCGUCUUG
rnacentral:rRNA from 1 species